ensembl:lncRNA
AAGCUGAAUGAUUCGCUCGUCUGGUGUGCAUUCGAAUCUUUCGAGCGAUUCGAGAGAAAAGAGUCGAUUCAAACGAUGCGAGUGUGAAGCGUUUUUUGAAAUCGCAUCGGUUACAGAAUCACUGAAUCUUCAGAUGCUGAUCAGCAGAAAUGAGUGAAAUCAUCGAUCACAGACUGAGAAGAACAAAAGCAACGCGAAGAGAAACACCACAGGAUGAUCAGAGAGAUUCGGCGUUUACCCAGAGUCCUCCAGUGAUCCGGGUGCUGACAUCUGGACAGCAGCAGUUCAGACAACCGCCCGAUGACCACUAACCCGGUUAACAGCGUGAGACUGGACACUCCUGAAGAUCACAGACAGCGAGCUGGGAAAACAGACAGAAUUACGUUUUCUUUUGCUGAUGAUUCAAGUGGGCUGAGUUUGAUUUCACAGAAGCUUCUGCACCUGCACAGAAAAACGCUAAUGGCCAUGAUUCAUCUGAUCUCAAAACGGACAUCCAAACCAAUGAGAAACCGAUUUAAAAAUCCCUGAAGAUCACUGGAACCAACAUGGAAGAACUCAAAUGAACAACGUCUGGAUGAGAAGUCUGACACUACAUCACCGGCCUCUGAAGCAUCUUUAGUUUCACAGCUGAAGAUCUUUAAUGAAGAACUCAAACACUGUGAAGACACCACUGUCAUUAAGUUUCACAGGAACCAGUUCAGAUCAAGAAUCAUUCGUCCAUGACCUCCAGAAACACACAGUCUAAUGCAGACGCUCUUCAGAAACCACACACUGAAUGAAGUCAUGAUGCAGAGAGCAUUAUGCUCUUUUACCUUUCCAUAAGAGAAUCAGGAGCCAACACACAAACCCUGGUGCAGAUUUACGCUGACACACGGUAAAAAAGAAUUUUUCUCUUGAUGUCCAUUUCUAGUCUGUUCCUUCUGUAGUCUUCAGACUGUCAGAUGCUGGUGGAUCCAAUCAGUAAACAUGAAGAUGAGAAGCAUCACAAGGGCUGAAUGAUGGACAUCAGGACCAAAUUAUAUAUGCUUUAUA